GCCACCAGCUAUAUCACCCUGCAGCUCUCAACUGGCUACCCACUGAAGCUAAGCAGGGUUCAGCCUGGUCAGUACCUGGAUAGGAGACCUCCUGGGAAGCUAUGGUUGCUGCUAAAA
rnacentral:rRNA from 1 species